AACUCUGGUUUUACCUCAAAAUCGUAUAAAUCUUUCGCCUUUUACUAAAGAUUUCCGUGGGGGAGGACAAAUGAAGAGUGUAUGUUAAUUUUUUUAAAGGGCUCAUCAUGAGGCCUA